GACAGAGGGUGCAAACGUUGUUCGGAAUUACUGGGCGUAAAGCGCACGUAGGCGGAUCGAUCAGUCAGGGGUGAAAUCCCAGGGCUCAACCCUGGAACUGCCUUUGAAACUGUCGGGCUUGAGGCCGGGAGGGGGUAGCGGAAUUCCCAGUGUAGCGGUGAAAUGCGUAGAUAUUGGGAGGAACACCGGUGGCGAAGGCGGCUACCUGGACCGGUAUUGACGCUGAGGCGCGAAAGCCAGGGGGAGCAAACGGG
rnacentral:rRNA from 1 species